rnacentral:tRNA from 1 species
ACCUGGCUGGCUCAGUCAGAGGAGCAAAUGACUCUUGAUCUUAGGGUCGUGAGUUCGAGUCCCACGUUGGGUG